UACGGGGGGGGCAAGCGUUGUUCGGAAUUACUGGGCGUAAAGGGCUCGUAGGCGGCCAACUAAGUCGGAUGUGAAAUCCCCAGGCUUAACCUGGGAACUGCAUCCGAUACUGGAUGGCUUGAAUCCGGGAGAGGGAUGCGGAAUUCCAGGUGUAGCGGUGAAAUGCGUAGAUAUCGGGAGGAACACCAGUGGCGAAGGCGGCUUUCUGGCCUGUUCUUGACGCUGAGGCGCGAAAGCUAGGGGAGCAAACGGG
rnacentral:rRNA from 1 species